rfam:Sarcophilus harrisii ctg7180002441555, whole genome shotgun sequence.
ACUGAAUCUAAUGGAAACAUUUCUGCACAAACUAGACUAUUGAAACCAGUGUGCAAAAUUGCUUCUGCUACAUUUUUA